CUGAAAAGAUCUUCAUUGUCACUGUUCAUGGUGUUUCUGUUGCUGAACGAGAUGAAAGGAAGGGAACGUCAGAGAAGGAGGAAGAAUCUGAUUCAGGUCUGUCUUCAGCUGCUGUAACAGGGAUAUGUGCUGGUGUUAGUGUUGUUCUGCUGAUAGUGACUGCAGCUGUGAUUUACUAUCGCAAGCGUCCUCAAGCAGGACGAUAUUGUGAGUAUUACAUACAGAUGUUUUAAUAAGAAGCUAAAUUGUGAUUUAUUGUGUGAAAAUAAUCUUAACAGAUGUGAAAUGUGUGUUUUUAUUGUAGCUAACCAAUGUAAUGUGUGUUUAUUUGAAUUACAGGAUCAGGAACCAGGACUC